rnacentral:rRNA from 1 species
GACGAACGCUGGCGGCGUGCCUAAUACAUGCAAGUCGAGCGAAUUGAUUUGGAGCUUGCUCCAAUGAUGUUAGCGGCGGACGGGUGAGUAACACGUGGGUAACCUGCCUUAUAGAUUGGGAUAACUUCGGGAAACCGGAGCUAAUACCGAAUAAUACUUUUUGACACAUGUCAGUUAGUUGAAAGACGGUUUCGGCUGUCACUAUAAGAUGGACCCGCGGCGCAUUAGCUAGUUGGUGAGGUAACGGCUCACCAAGGCAACGAUGCGUAGCCGACCUGAGAGGGUGAUCGGCCACGAUGGGACUGAGACACGGCCCAGACUCCUACGGGAGGCAGCAGUAGGGAAUCUUCCACAAUGGGCGAAAGCCUGAUGGAGCAACGCCGCGUGAGUGAAGAAGGAUUUCGGUUCGUAAAACUCUGUUGCAAGGGAAGAACAAGUAGCGUAGUAACUGGCGCUACCUUGACGGUACCUUGUUAGAAAGCCACGGCUAACUACGUGCCAGCCGCCGCCGUAA